rnacentral:pre_miRNA from 1 species
UUUCUACUCCCUCCGUCCGAAAAUACUUGUCAUCAAAAUGGAUAAAAAGAGAUGUAUCUAAAACUAAAAUAUGUCUAGAUACAUUUCCUUUUAUCCAUUUUGAUGACAAGUAUUUCUGGACAGAGGGAGUAUUUG